rnacentral:tRNA from 1 species
GAGGGUAUAGCUCAGUGGUAGAGCACAUGCUUGGUGUUCACAAGGUCCUGGGUUUAAUCCCUGGUACCUCCA